GCUCCGGUGGAUCAGCGGUAAAGCGUAUCACUCGUAAUAACAAAAUCCGCAGUUCAAGUCCGCGUCGGAGCU